GACGAACGCUGGCGGCGUGCUUAACACAUGCAAGUCGAACGGAAAGGCCCUGCUUUUGUGGGGUGCUCGAGUGGCGAACGGGUGAGUAACACGUGAGUAACCUGCCCUUGACUUUGGGAUAACUUCAGGAAACUGGGGCUAAUACCGGAUAGGAGCUCCUGCUGCAUGGUGGGGGUUGGAAAGUUUCGGCGGUUGGGGAUGGACUCGCGGCUUAUCAGCUUGUUGGUGGGGUAGUGGCUUACCAAGGCUUUGACGGGUAGCCGGCCUGAGAGGGUGACCGGCCAAAUUGGGACUGAGAUACGGCCCAGACUCCUACGGGAGGCAGCAGGGGGGAAUAGUGCACAAUGGGCGGAAGCCCGAUGCAGCAACGCCGCGUGCGGGAUGACGGCCUUCGGGUUGGAAACCGCUUUCGCCUGUGACGAAGCGUGAGUGACGGUAAUGGGUAAAGAAGCACCGGCUAACUACGUG
rnacentral:rRNA from 1 species